rnacentral:rRNA from 1 species
AACGAACGCUGGCGGCAUGCCUAAUACAUGCAAGUCGAACGAGAUCUUCGGAUCUAGUGGCGCACGGGUGCGUAACGCGUGGGAAUCUGCCCUUGGGUUCGGAAUAACUUCUGGAAACGGAAGCUAAUACCGGAUGAUGACGUAAGUCCAAAGAUUUAUCGCCCAAGGAUGAGCCCGCGUAGGAUUAGCUAGUUGGUGGGGUAAAGGCCCACCAAGGCGACGAUCCUUAGCUGGUCUGAGAGGAUGAUCAGCCACACUGGGACUGAGACACGGUCCAGACUCCUACGGGAGGCAGCAGUAGGGAAUAUUGGACAAUGGGCGAAAGCCUGAUCCAGCAAUGCCGCGUGAGUGAUGAAGGCCUUAGGGUUGUAAAGCUCUUUUACCCGGGAUGAUAAUGACAGUACCGGGAGAAUAAGCUCCGGCUAACUCCGUG